UACGAAGGGGGCUAGCGUGGCUCGGAAUCACUGGGCGUAAAGCGCACGUAGGCGGAUUGUUAAGUCAGGGGUGAAAUCCUGGAGCUCAACUCCAGAACUGCCUUUGAUACUGGCGAUCUCGAGUCCGGGAGAGGUGAGUGGAACUGCGAGUGUAGAGGUGAAAUUCGUAGAUAUUCGGAGGAACACCAGUGGCGAAGGCGGCUCACUGGUCCGGUACUGACGCUGAGGUGCGAAAGCGUGGGGAGCAAACAGG
rnacentral:rRNA from 1 species